rfam:Triticum aestivum genome assembly, contig: Triticum_aestivum_CS42_TGACv1_scaffold_130310_2BL
UUGCUACUCCCUCCGUCUGGAAAUACUUGUCAUCAAAAUGAAUAAAAGGGAUGUAUCUAGACGUAUAUUAGUUUAGAACUUUAGAUACAUUUCUUUUUAUCCAUUUUGAUGACAAGUAUUUUGGGACGGAGGGAGUAUUUC